rnacentral:rRNA from 1 species
AUUGAACGCUGGCGGCAUGCCUUACACAUGCAAGUCGAACGGACGCACGGGUGCUUGCACCUGGUGGCGAGUGGCGCACGGGUGAGUAAUACAUCGGAACAUGUCCUGUAGUGGGGGAUAGCCCGGCGAAAGCCGGAUUAAUACCGCCUACGAUCUACGGAUGAAAGCGGGGGCACUUCGGGCCUCGCGCUAUAGGGUUGGCCGAUGGCUGAUUAGCUAGUUGGUGGGGUAAAGGCAUACCAAGGCGACGAUCAGUAGCUGGUCUGAGAGGACGAUCAGCCACACUGGGACUGAGACACGGCCCAGACUCCUACGGGAGGCAGCAGUGGGGAAUUUUGCACAAUGGGCGAAAGCCUGAUCCAGCAAUGCCGCGUGUGUGAAGAAGGCCUUCGGGUUGUAAAGCACUGUUGUCCGGAAAGAAAUCCUUGGCCCUAAUACGGUCGGGGGAUGACGGUACCGGAAGAAUAAGCACCGGCUAACUACGUG